GAGCACUCGCUGUCCUGAGGAAGGAACACACAUUUGACUAGACCUUAUCUUCUGUAAAGAUGUGCUGCACAUCAAUUCAUCUCCUCAUUGGUGCCUUACUUGUCUUUGCUAUUGAAAAUGUGGCCACAGCCACGGAAAACAGCACAGAAAAUAACACAGCUCCAGUUUCAGUGCCUUCAUACACCACCACCCAAUUCAAAGAAACAGACUUUACCAUUCCAAACGUCACUGUUACCCUGCCAAACAAGACGGCUGUGAAUACCACAUCAGCAUCAGAACUGCCUACUCCACCUCCCCCAGAACGUCCGCAGACCAACAAUUUCACCACAGGCGAUUCUCUGAAGACCAUUGCACAAUCAAGCACAAUUAAUAUGAUCAAAAGCACAACUAUUAGCAAAGCAACUAUAACUACAGCAGUAAAAACUACAGUUUCGACAACAACGCAAUCGGGGACAAAAACUUUUAUAGUUAUCUUUAUUAUUGCCAUUCUGUGCCUUGCUGGGGUAUUAGUUUAUUGUUGCCUUAAAAAGAAAUCUAGGAAGUACUCUGUGGACUUACAUCCCAAACACGAAGAUGCUCAGAUCCCACUCAGCACAGUGGAUGCAGAGGUGUUUGACACCACAUCAGUCAAAGAUAUGCAAACGUUCACUCCUGUCGAGUCCACCGAGCCGCUUAAGGACCCUGCGCCUGAAUCUGAGAAGCCUGAGGGAGAGAAAGAAUCAGCUGAUGUUAAACAAGAAAACCAACAGAAUUUAUCCAGCACUCAGGCCACAGAGAACCCAAAGGAUAAAAUGGAGGGGCUGACCGUAGUGGAUCUGACUGAUGGAGAACCGACGAUCUCCACCAAAACCUCAAUGGAAUCCCUAGAUGAUGUUCUCAAUGAAAACAACAGCAACAAUACAAGAGUCAAGGGCAAUGGGCAUGAUUUCACUGAAAUCUCUAUUGAUGCUUUACUUCUAAAAUAAAUCAGGUUCUUCCCAGCAUUUUACAAUGAUCUCUGAACCUGACUGAUGGAUUGUACUGGAACUGGAAGUAACAGCUGAACUAAAUUCAUUGUUAGAACAACCUUGUUUGAAUAUACAUACAGCACUAAGAAAAGUCUGUAAAAACAGGGCCCAAUGUAUUGUGUUAAUGUAAAGGAAUUUUCUGUAUACAUUUUCACUAGUCUUUUACUCAUAUUUUUAAAUGCAUUGUGUUGUUUUAUGGUUAAAAGGAAAUAUACAUAAACUUAAUGGAGUGCAACUUAAUGGAGAAACUUCUGCAGAUUUUUGUUCCUACAUUGUAUUUCAAUUAGCAUACUAUUACCUGUUAUGUUAGAUUUUAAUAUUGUAACUUGUUAAUUAUAAUUUUGUAAAUGUUCAACCAGCUUUUUAUUGUUGUUGGCUGUAUAUGUAAAUGAACAAUGCGUACUUUUUCCAUGUUAUUGCACCCAGAUAUCACAAUUUAUUUUCCAAGCAAAAGGAUGCUUGGAAAAUAACCGAAUAAUGCAAAACAUGUCCCUUUUGACAGCUCCAGGUAUUUUAAUAAAAUUACAGAUUGAUUCUUUGUUUCUUGUAUU
ensembl:lncRNA